UGAGGAAUAUUGGUCAAUGGACGCAAGUCUGAACCAGCCAUGCCGCGUGAAGGAUGAAGGCGUUCUGCGUUGUAAACUUCUUUUAUCUGGGAAGAAACCUCCUUUUUCUAAGGGAGCCGACGGUACCAGAGGAAUAAGCACCGGCUAACUCCGUGCCAGCAGCCGCGGUAAUACGGAGGGUGCAAGCGUUAUCCGGAUUCACUGGGUUUAAAGGGUGUGUAGGCGGAUAUUUAAGUCCGAGGUGAAAUCUCUGAGCUCAACUCAGAAACUGCCUUGGAUACUAUUUAUCUUGAAUAUCGUUGAGGUAGGCGGAAUAUGUCAUGUAGCGGUGAAAUGCUUAGAUAUGACAUAGAACACCGAUUGCGAAGGCAGCUUGCUAAACGAUUAUUGACGCUGAGGCACGAAAGCGUGGGGAUCAAACAGGAUUAGAUACCCCGGUAGUCC
rnacentral:rRNA from 1 species